rnacentral:lncRNA from 1 species
AAAUAUUGAUAAAAUAAUGUCUUAAAAAUUUUGACUUAAUGUUAAAAAAGACACAAAGGAAAGGAUUCCUCGAAAAGCAGAAUAGGCCAAAUGGAAAAGGAGAUACAAAAGCUCAAUGAAGAAAACAAUUUCCUAAAGAUUAGAAUAGUGAAGGCUAAUGGCUCUAUGAGACAAUGAGAACAUAAAAUAAAGUCAAAAGAAUGAAAAAAUAAAAGAAAAUGGGAAAUAUCUCAUUGGAAAAACAACUUUCAUGGAAAACGAAUGAAAAGAGAUGACUAUAGAAUUAUUGGACUAUCAGAGUCAUGAACAACAACAAAAAAAGAGCUGAGAUAUCAUGUUUCAAGAAAUUGUGAAAGAAAGCUUCUCUCAAUAUUGGAGUUCUACAUGGUAAAAUAGAAAUUGAAAGAAUCUACUGAUUAUCUCUUGAAAGAGAUCCCAAAAUAAAACUCCCUAGGAAUAUAAAAGCCAAAUUUCAGAGCUUUAGAUUGAUGAGAAAAUAUUGCAAGCAGCCAGAAAGAAACAAUUCAAAAAUCAUGGAGCCACAGUGAGGAUCAAAAAAAGAUUUAGUGGUUUUCAUAUUAAUGGAAUGGAGGGUUUGGAAUAAGAUAUGCUAGACGCCAAAGUAGCAAGAAUAACAUCCAAGAAUAACAUAUUCAGUAAAACUGGAAAAUUGUAUAUUGGAUAAAAUAGAGGACUUUUAAGCAUUCCUGAUGAAAAGGUCAGAGAUGAAUAGAACAUUUGACAUUCAGUCACAAGACCAAAGAGAAGCACAAAAAGCUUCCAGGCUAAGGAGAAAAUAUUGGAAGAAGCCAGAAAGAGACAAUUCAGAUAUCAAGGAGCCUCAGUCAGGAUUACACAGGAACUGGCAGCCUCCACAUUAAAGGACCACAAGGCUUGGAAUAUGAUAUGCAGAAGGGCAAGAGAAUUGGGCCUACAACCAAGGAUCACCUACCCAUCAAAACUGACUCUAUACUUCCAGGGAAAAGUAUGAGUAUUUAACAAAAUAGAAGAUUUCCAAGUAUUUGUAAAGAAAAGAUCAG